UACGUAGGGGGCAAGCGUUGUCCGGAAUUAUUGGGCGUAAAGAGCGUGUAGGCGGUCCGGUAAGUCAGCUGUGAAAGUCAAGGGCUCAACCCUUGAAAGCCGGUUGAUACUGUCGGGCUAGAGUCCGGAAGAGGCGAGUGGAAUUCCCGGUGUAGCGGUGAAAUGCGCAGAUAUCGGGAGGAACACCGGUGGCGAAGGCGGUUCUCUGGGCCUUACCUGACGCUGAGGAGCGAAAGCGUGGGGAGCGAACAGG
rnacentral:rRNA from 1 species